GGACCAAGGAGUCUAACACGUGCGCGAGUCACAGGGUUAACUCGCAAAACAGCACGAAACCCUAAGGCGAAAUGAAAGUGAAGGUCAGACGUAGCACUGACCGAGGCAGGAUCCGUCCGGGUGAGCGAAGCUCUUCUUCCUUUCGCGGGAUUUCGAUCUCGCGGGGGAGCUCGGCGGCGCACUGCCGGCCCAUCUCAGCCGCUUCCCGUCGGCGAGGUGGAGCCAGAGCGCACACGUUGGGACCCGAAAGAUGGUGAACUAUGCUCGGGCAGGACGAAGCCAGAGGAAACUCUGGUGGAGGUCCGUAGCGAUUCUGACGUGCAAAUCGAUCGUCGGACCCGAGUAUAGGGGCGAAAGACUAAUCGAACCGUCUAG
rnacentral:rRNA from 1 species